CUCUUUAUUCAGCCUGAGCCACCAGCUAAUGGGACAGUGUCACCAUUCAGGACUGUCUGACCUUCCUCCCUUUACGGUUUUCUCUGAAAACACCCUUUCAGGACACAUCAAGAGCUGUGCCUCCUUUGUGAUUCUAAACCCAGCCCAGCUGGAAAUGAAGAUUAGCCUUCACAUGGAUCAUGCCACGGAGGCGAGAAAGCAAAGCUCCCAGUUUUUAAAGCCGAGAGAACCACCUUUGGAUUCAGGUCUCCAUGGAGCCCAGAGCCUGGCACUGCUUGCCCAUCAGUACCUUGGGUCUCAGGCAAACAAGCGUGUGAGCAGACAGCACUUUUCCUCCAUGGCUCCUGUCACAGCUGGUAAUUACAAAUAGAGGACAACCUUUGGAUUUGGGUCUCAUAUCUUCACCAGAAAUGUGCUGAUGAAGAUUAGAAAAACCAAGGACUUCUAGCUUUCUACACUGACUUGUCAGCAAAU